rnacentral:rRNA from 2 species
UACGAAGGGGGCUAGCGUUGCUCGGAAUCACUGGGCGUAAAGGGCGCGUAGGCGGCCAUUCAAGUCGGGGGUGAAAGCCUGUGGCUCAACCACAGAAUUGCCUUCGAUACUGUUUGGCUUGAGUUUGGUAGAGGUUGGUGGAACUGCGAGUGUAGAGGUGAAAUUCGUAGAUAUUCGCAAGAACACCAGUGGCGAAGGCGGCCAACUGGACCAACACUGACGCUGAGGCGCGAAAGCGUGGGGAGCAAACAGG